UUUGGAGGAUUUCCUAAGCUUGAAGUCCUAAAAUUCUGGGAGCUGGAGCUACUUGAGGAAUGGAAUGUGGAGGAAGGAGCAAUGCCUAAUCUGAAAGACUUGGACAUCAGACGCUGUAUGAAUUUGAAGGUGCUUCCUGCUGGGCUACAGUGCAUUAAAAACCUCCGAGAAGUAAAAUUAACAAAGCUUCCAAUUUUGUCAUCAAGUCUUGAGGAUAA
rnacentral:misc_RNA from 1 species